rnacentral:rRNA from 1 species
UGGCGCACGGGUGAGUAACACGUGAAUAAUCUACCUCCGAUGGGGAAUAACCUGGAGAAAUCUAGGCUAAUACCGCAUAACACUUACGAGUCAAAGCAGCAAUGCGCUUGGAGAGGAGUUCGCGGCAGAUUAGUUAGUUGGCGGGGUAAUGGCCCACCAAGACGAUGAUCUGUAUCCGGCCUGAGAGGGCGCACGGACACACUGGAACUGAAACACGGUCCAG